UACGUAGGGGGCAAGCGUUGUCCGGAUUUAUUGGGCGUAAAGAGCGUGUAGGCGGCCUGAAAGGUCAGCUGUGAAAACUCGAGGCUCAACCUCGAGACGUCGGUUGAAACCAUCUGGCUAGAGUCCGGAAGAGGAGUGUGGAAUUCCCGGUGUAGCGGUGAAAUGACGCAGAUAUCAGGAGGAACACCAAUGGCGAAGGCAGCUCGCUGGGACGGUAACUGACGCU
rnacentral:rRNA from 1 species